GACGAACCGUGCGAACGUUGUUCGGAUUCACUGGGCUUAAAGGGCGCGUAGGCGGACCUGCCAGUCAGGGGUGAAAUCCUCCGGCUCAACCGGAGAACUGCCAUGGAUACUGGGUGCCUCGAGGGUGAUAGGGGUAUGCGGAACUAUCGGUGGAGCGGUGAAAUGCGUUGAUAUCGAUAGGAACUCCGGUGGCGAAGGCGGCAUACUGGAUCACUUCUGACGCUGAGGCGCGAAAGCCAGGGGAGCGAACGGG
rnacentral:rRNA from 1 species